AAUUUGUGCAAUGGGGAAUGCCGACGAGCAAUACCGCCUGAUGGAAUAGAAUGCCCAUAGGGUUGUAAGCCUCUUUUGUAAGGAAUAAGUUCUGAGGUUAUUUAAGGAUUAAGCAUCGGUUAAUUCCGUGCCAGCACCCGCGGUAAUACGAAGGUUGCAAGUGCUAUCGGGAAUCUCUGGGCGUAAAGCGUCUGUAGGGGGCAUAUUAAGUCUAUUAUAAAAUCUUGAAGUUCAACUUCAAAACGUACUAGAAACUAAUGAACUCGAGGAUAGUAGGGGUAAAGGGAUAUCCAGUGGAGCGUGAAAGGCGUAGAGAUGGAAGGGCCCGGAAGGCGAAGGCACUUUACUGGGCUAUUUCUGACACUAGAGACGAAAGCUAGGGGGCCAAAUGGGAUUAGAUACCCCCUGUAGUCCUACCCUA
rnacentral:rRNA from 1 species